AUGGGUACGGAAGACACAGGACAGGUGUGGGGACAGGAAGAGUGGCAGGCUGACAUAAAGCUAAGCAGCAAAGGUGGAUAUAGACAAAGUGUUUCCACAGGUCAGAUGACACACCAGAGAACCCCCAAUACUCCUGUAACCAGAGAGACAAAGCAAACGGAGACUCCUACAUCCCGCGAGAGCACCAUCAGCUACGAGAGCGAACCCACGCGGCCCCAUUCAACAAACACCACACAGAAAGAAACCCCGACCACAAAAGAAGAAAGUACACCCAGCAGACCACACACGCCACUCACCUCUCACUCCGCGCCCACGCCAUCUGCCUCCACCACCGCCAACACGACAGGUCCCCCCACACGGACAUCCUUCCGGACCACCUCGGCCCGGCCCACCCCAUCGCGCCCCGAGACCACCGUCUCCACACACGCUGCCCCCUCUACUACAUCCUCAGUGACUCCCACCACCCACCGAGUCAUCACCCCAACACACCCAGAGACCCCUUCCACCCCAUCCCCUGCUUCACACCCGGGUUCCACUUCUGUGCCUCCACACGUCCCCAGCACAGGGACAGAGCCCACGCACACGACCCCGCCACUCACACGGACCACCAACACCCCUAGCUCACUCAGCACAACCAAAACCUCCACUUCCAGGGAGUCUUAUCCCUCAGUACCCAUCCACCAAGAAACCUCAUCUGCCCCUAAACCCUCCAUCUCUCACACACCAUCGGCCACUGGAACCCUGGCCUCCGUGACAGCCACCGCCACGGCCACGGCCACCACCACAGCCACGGCCACCNNNNNNNNNNUCCGCCCCCAAACCCACCGUCUCUCACACGCCAUCGGCCACUGGAACCCUGACCUCUGUGACGGCCACCGCCACGGCCACGGCCACCACCAGCAAGCAACACACGCCGCUCACCUCUCACUCUGCACCCACACCAUCUGUCUCCAUCACCACCCACACGACAGGAUCCCCCACAGGGACAUCCUUCCAGACCACGAACACUCAGCCCACCCCAUCACGCCCUGA
rnacentral:lncRNA from 1 species